rnacentral:lncRNA from 1 species
CUCAUCAUUACGUCCCUUUGGGGACGUUCGUGUGCGAGUCAAGUGCAACUUCCGGGUUACACGUGUGCAGAGGGGAGACAUCGUUCCACUCGAUGGCAAGUUUGACUGCUGGGACUGUUCAUGGCCGUCCAGUUCCAGGGCUGUACAUAACUGACUGAGGGAGCACAACUUUCUGCCCCUACGUCUUGCCUGGUACAGAUAGCAUCUACGGUACAAGAAACAAGACUGAGAUGAUGUUUUGUUCACUGACGAGUCGUGAUUUCAUCUAGACAGCUCAGAUGGCAGGGCAAGGGUGUACAGAAAGAUACCAAUAUGGCAGAAGUGUUUGAGACCCUACUGGAGAAGUGUCCCCAUCUCUUGCUUUCCGACCGAGAGAAACAAAUCCUGGAGCAAUCGGGACACACUUUCUACAAGCGAUACCAGAUCCCUCGCCAGUUUCUCGAACUCUAUUUGCUGUGCUUUCGCCAAUUUGAAGAAGACGGCAAAUCUUGUCUACAUCUACCCACCCAACCGAUUUCUACCCACAGCAGGCAAACUCGGAAUCGUUCUCGCCAGUGACUACUGCCCAGAACCCAAGGGCAGACACAACCGAUGCACCGACUGCCUCAUCGCUAUAUUGAAACUUCCCACUCUCUUCGAACCAGACAGCUCUACAUGCAAGUGUGGCGCCAUCGACCACUGCGUCGGCAGCAAGAAAUGGGUUCUCUGGAAAAGAAAGUGAUAGAAUACACACCCCAGGAGCGACUCCCACUCAAGGUUCCGGAAGAAAUCGCGAUCCACUGCUGUUUCUCGAACAUAGAGAAACUGUACGACAAUGACUGCCUCUUGUGGUGCUUGCGAUACCAACGCCUCCUCGACAAAUUGGUGGACAAUUGUCCAUGCGAGAAAGAUUCUUGUAUCUUCCGGCACCUAGCUAGUUACUCAUGAGAAGUAGCCCUCCCAACCGUCCCCUCUCACUACUACGGGCUUCUCAGUAAGCCUGUGUGGGGGAAUAUACGGAGAGAGUGAGGACAGCAUGCCUUUGGUCACGUGGGUGCGCUUUUGGCGGGAAAGGCAAGGGAGGUAACUCCAGGGUGAGUGAUUGUACAUUCGCUUCAGUGAACUGGAAGGGAAUCAAGCUUCCACUUAACCGUCGAAGGAGAAGGGAGAUAAGCAAUAAAGCAUGAAAUAAGAAUAUAGCAUGAGUCAGGAUAAGGAAAAAAACAACAGUUACCGUUCAAUGAAGAGAUAAGGUACUAUCUUUUACCUAGAUAUUAUAAUGGAAUAGUCCAAAUAAAAACACAAGAAAGAAAACUGAAGCUAUAUCAUUUACUUUGAAAGAUACCCCAAAAGACAUUAUUUUGAAUUUUGAUUUUCAUAAACAUUUUGGUUUAACUUUCGCGUCUAAUGGGAGUUAGUUUAAACAUAUUUUAUUUCGAAUUACAAAAAAAUGGGGAUCAGUGAACAAGCCAGGGAGUUGGCAUCAUCAUAUAGAAAAGAUUGUCAAAAAAUCUAAAAUGAUAGGAGCAUUUCAGAAAUUAAAGGUCCUACUAAUUAGAAUAACAUUAGCAAAAAUAUAUACUGCAAAAAUAUAUAUGGCCACAUUUUGAGUACGCUCGUGCGGUAUGCAGGGGCGGAUACAGCUUUUUGAGAAA